AGGGCACCACCAGGAGUGGAGCCUGCGGCUUAAUUUGACUCAACACGGGAAAACUUACCCGGCCCGGACACUGGAAGGAUUGACAGAUUGAGAGCUCUUUCUUGAUUCAGUGGGUGGUGGUGCUGGGCCGUUCUUAGUUGGUGGAGCGAUUUGUCUGGUUAAUUCCGAUAACGAACGAGACUCUAGCCUACUAAAUAGACUAUCCUUCCUCUGUGACGGCAGGACUUCUUAGAGGCACAGGGGGCUACUCACCCCCACGAAACAAAGCAAUAACAGGGCUGUGAUGCCCUGAGAUGUCCGGGGCCGCACGGCGUGCUACACUGAAGUGAUCAGCGUGCAUUAAUAGCCCUCCUCCGUCAGGAGUGAGUAACCCAUUGAUCCUUCUUCGUGAUUGGGAUAGGGUAUUGUAAUUCUUACCCUUGAAGACGAAUUCUCAGUAAGCGCGAGACAUAAGCUGGCGUGAUUACGUCCCUGCCCUUUGUACGCACCGUCGUCGCUACUACGAUUGAAUGGUUUAAU
rnacentral:rRNA from 1 species